ACACAGCUUCUCGCAUGAAUCCACCGGCUUAGCUCUAAAGAUACACGUGAGUCUGCCAUGCAAACACUUGCUCGAUGAGCUAGGUGGAUUCUACGUCGAACCACGUGGACAUUUAACAAUUAAGGGAAAGGGUCAAAUGACAACGUACUGGCUUACGGGCAGCGACAGAUUGAAGACACUGUACGCUGUGAGCCCCUCUGAUAUGUUGGGCAAAAAUGAAGUGAAAUGAAGUGUCAACCCGCGUCAGCUUCACAACUUAUCUCGUAGCUCGCAACUUUCCUACUUUAUCGUAAAAUAAUCAUAUCACUUUAGUAUUACACUACUUUCUAUCUUUACUGUACUAUACCGUGUAUGGAUAACAUCAGGAGCAGUGGCGUACGCAGGGGGGGGGGGGUGUUUGGGGUGUUAAAC